rnacentral:rRNA from 1 species
UACGUAGGGGGCUAGCGUUGUCCGGAAUCAUUGGGCGUAAAGAGCGUGUAGGCGGCCCGGUAAGUCCGCUGUGAAAGUCCAGGGCUCAACCCUGGGAUGCCGGUGGAUACUGUCGGGCUCGAGUCCGGAAGAGGAGAGUGGAAUUCCUGGUGUAGCGGUGAAAUGCGCAGAUAUCAGGAGGAACACCAAUGGCGAAGGCAGCUCGCUGGGACGUGACUGACGCUGAGGUGCGAAAGCGUGGGGAGCAAACAGG